UUUAUGGAGAGUUUGAUCCUGGCUCAGGAUGAACGCUGGCGGCGUGCCUAAUACAUGCAAGUCGAGCGAACAGAUAAGGAGCUUGCUCCUUUGACGUUAGCGGCGGACGGGUGAGUAACACGUGGGUAACCUACCUAUAAGACUGGAAUAACUCCGGGAAACCGGGGCUAAUGCCGGAUAACAUGUUGAACCGCAUGGUUCUACAGUGAAAGACGGUCUUGCUGUCACUUAUAGAUGGACCCGCGCCGUAUUAGCUAGUUGGUGGGGUAACGGCCUACCAAGGCGACGAUACGUAGCCGACCUGAGAGGGUGAUCGGCCACACUGGAACUGAGACACGGUCCAGACUCCUACGGGAGGCAGCAGUAGGGAAUCUUCCGCAAUGGGCGAAAGCCUGACGGAGCAACGCCGCGUGAGUGAUGAAGGUCUUCGGAUCGUAAAGCUCUGUUGUUAGGGAAGAACAAAUGUGUAAGUAACUGUGCACAUCUUGACGGUACCUAACCAGAAAGCCACGGCUAACUACGUGCCAGCAGCCGCGGUAAUACGUAGGUGGCAAGCGUUAUCCGGAAUUAUUGGGCGUAAAGCGCGCGUAGGCGGUUUUUUAAGUCUGAUGUGAAAGCCCACGGCUCAACCGUGGAGGGUCAUUGGAAACUGGAAAACUUGAGUGCAGAAGAGGAAAGUGGAAUUCCAUGUGUAGCGGU
rnacentral:rRNA from 1 species